rnacentral:ncRNA from 1 species
GACCGCAACCGCGUGGGUAAGUGGAAACACCCCCAAGGCAUCGCUCGAUGAGCCUGACAGCGCGUAGUGCGGUUUU